ACACGACUACAUUAGAUACCCGUGUAGUCCUAGCCGUAAACGAUACUCGCUAGGUGUCGGCCACGGUGCGACCGUUGUCGGUGCCGUAGGGAAGCCGUGAAGCGAGCCACCUGGGAAGUACGGCCGCAAGGCUGAAACUUAAAGGAAUUGGCGGGGGAGCACCGCAACGGGAGGAGCGUGCGGUUCAAUUGGAUUCAACGCCGAAAAACUCACCAGGAGCGACGGAUAUAUGAAGGUCAAGCUGAUGACUUUACCUGAUUUUCCG
rnacentral:rRNA from 1 species